rnacentral:rRNA from 1 species
ACGGAGGGGGCUAGCGUUGUUCGGAAUUACUGGGCGUAAAGGGCGCGUAGGCGGACUAGUAAGUUGGGAGUGAAAGCCCGGGGCUCAACCUCGGAACUGCUUUCAAAACUGCUAGUCUUGAGUGAAGUAGGGGGUGAUGGAAUUCCUAGUGUAGAGGUGAAAUUCUUAGAUAUUAGGAGGAACACCGGUGGCGAAGGCGGUCACCUGGACUUCAACUGACGCUGAGGCGCGAAAGCGUGGGGAGCAAACAGG